rnacentral:rRNA from 1 species
CACUCCUGCGGGAGGCAGCAGUGGGGAAUAUUGGACAAUGGGCGCAAGCCUGAUCCAGCCAUGCCGCGUGAGUGAUGAAGGCCCUAGGGUUGUAAAGCUCUUUCACCGGUGAAGAUAAUGACGGUAACCGGAGAAGAAGCCCCGGCUAACUUCGUGCCAGCAGCCGCGGUAAUACGAAGGGGGCUAGCGUUGUUCGGAUUUACUGGGCGUAAAGCGCACGUAGGCGGACUAUUAAGUCAGGGGUGAAAUCCCGGGGCUCAACCCCGGAACUGCCUUUGAUACUGGUAGUCUUGAGUUCGAGAGAGGUGAGUAGAAUUCCGAGUGUAGAGGUGAAAUUCGUAGAUAUUCGGAGGAACACCAGUGGCGAAGGCGGCUCACUGGCUCGAUACUGACGCUGAGGUGCGAAAGCGUGGGGAGCAAACAGGAUUAGAAACCCCAGUAGUCCCAUGAU